UUUAAUUGAUGUUGUGAGACGCACAAAGCUAACAGAUACAGAGAAGAUUAGCAUGGCCCCUGCGCAAGGAUGACACGCAUAAAUCGAGAAAUGGUCCAAAAUUUU